rnacentral:rRNA from 1 species
CUGGUCUGAGAGGAUGAUCAGCCACAUCGGGACUGAGACACGGCCCGAACUCCUACGGGAGGCAGCAGUGGGGAAUAUUGGACAAUGGGCGAAAGCCUGAUCCAGCCAUGCCGCGUGUGUGAAGAAGGCUUUCGGGUUGUAAAGCACUUUCAGUGAGAGAACGCCUUGGGGCUAAUACCCCCGAGGGAAGACAUCACUCACAGAAGAAGCACCGGCUAACUCCGGCCACAGCCGCGGUAAUACGGAGGGUGCAAGCGUUAAUCGGAAUUACUGGGCGUAAAGCGCGCGUAGGCGGCGUGAUAAGCCGGUUGUAAAGCCCCGGGCUCAACCUGGGAACGGCAUCCGGAACUGUCAGGCUAAGUGCAGGAGAGGAAGGUAGAAUUCCCGGUGUAGCGGUGAAAUGCGUAGAGAUCGGGAGGAAUACCAGGGCGAAGGCGCCUUCUGGACUGACACUGACGCUGAGGUGCGAAAGCGUGGGUAGCAAACAGGAUUAGUACCCUGGUAGUCCACGCCGUAAACGAUGUCGACUAGCCGUUGGGGUCCUAGAGACCUUUGUGGCGCAUUAACGCGAUAAGCGACCGCCUGGGGAGUACGGCCGCAAGGUUAAAACUCAAAUGAAUUGACGGGGGCCCGCACAAGCGGUGGAGCAUGUGGUUUAAUUCGAUGCAACGCGAAGAACCUUACCUACCCUUGACAUCGUGCGAACUUGGUAGGAUACCUUGGUGCCUUCGGGAACGGUGCUGCAUGGCUGUCGUCAGCUCGUGUUGUGAAAUGUUGGGUUAAGUCCCGUAACGAGCGCAACCCUUGUCCCUAUUUGCCAGCGAUUCGGUCGGGAACUCUAGGGAGACUGCCGGUGACAAACCGGAGGAAGGUGGGGACGACGUCAAGU